GGUCGCCGGUGGAAGCAAUGCAUCAGUUUUUUCUGCCCUAUGGUUGUCUCUGGCUCCAUCAUGCUGCCGGACCAGGGUUAGCUUCUGUUUCAGGGGAUGGGUGCCUUGACAAGAUGGAGGAAGCGGAUGCCGACGCAAAAAGAUCAAAACCCCCUCUGCCAGAGAAACAAGUGUCCUCCUCCCAGCAGCCGAGCAGGAGAGAGGAAAGAGUCGCUCAACAGGUAGACGUACACAAUGCAGCAGCCCAUCCCCCUGGAUAAAAUGCAUCAACCAAUCAUCAUCAGAGUGCUGCUGCAGGAGGGGGUCCUUAGCAACAGCUGGAUACCUGUUGGCCAAAUAGUGCUGUUGGCAUCUAUUCCAAGCUGCAGGUUCCUCCCCGACCAUCAAAUACAGCACGACUGACGGAAUAUUUUAUCCCUCACUGCAUCAUCAGCCUGCUGCUGCCACGCAGACUUAAUGGAAAAAAAAAAGAUUAAAAGCAUUUAGAAACUUUUAAAUGAAGAAGUUCCUUUGAUGGAAGAAGUCCAGGGAGGUUAGUCUCCUUCCAAAUUAUACUUCAGAUCUGAAGCCAGUUUAUAAUUUCUAAGUUAUAAGUGUGUCAAAGUCUUGAUUGAAUUUCAGCCAAGUCAAGUUCAGGGCCACGUUAGACUGUGCAGCUGUCUGGGCCUUGUUUUGACACACAGGUACAUAGGAACACACGCACACACACACAAACACACAUGGGCCCACACAGACAUCAUCAGUCCUCAAUUCAGCUGAAGUUUAAGUUAAGUAUGAAAGAAAAUGAAACAUAAAUUACGUUUUACUCUUCAGUUGUCAGUUUUUGUUAACCUGUUAACACCUCUUUUGUGCUUUGCAUGUUAAAUAUCAUGU